GAUGAAGAACGCAGCGAAAUGCGAUACGUAGUGUGAAUUGCAGAAUUCAGUGAAUCAUCGAAUCUUUGAACGCACAUUGCACCUCUCGGUAUUCCGGGAGGUAUGCCUGUUCGAGCGUCAUUUGUACCCUCAAGCUCUGCUUGGUGUUGGGUGUUUGUUCCGCCUCUGUGUGUGAACUCGCCUCAAAACAAUUGGCAGCCGGCGUACUUGUUUCGGAGCGCAGCACAUUUUGCGAUCCAGAUCAACGUACAGCGGCAUCCAAGAAGCCUUAUUUAACGCUCUUGACCUCGGAUCAGGUAGGGAUACCCGCUGAACUUAAGCAUACAAUAAGCGGAGGA
rnacentral:misc_RNA from 1 species